AUGAAUGAGAGGUCUGGCACAGCUGUGGUGAGAAGCCUUCUGUUACUGGCCUGGCAUGGGAAAGGCAGAAAGAGUCGAGGAUCUGAAGGUGUGGAAACAGGAAGACUUCUGUGGUCCAGAGUUCCAAGACCUUCUGAUGAAGCGUGUGUCAGAAUUCUGUCCUGGCCUCUUACUUCUUACUGGAGAAUUGAAGCAAAGAUCCUCACACUUCUCAGCGGGCCUUUGCAGCUGGGUGAACAACAACAGCAACAGUAA
rnacentral:lncRNA from 1 species